rnacentral:misc_RNA from 1 species
UAUUUUAGUGAAACUAAUUAGUUGAUCAAUGUAUUUUGAAAAAUAUAGCAUUUUGAAAAUUAUAUUAUUAGAUAAAAAUAGAAAUUUUACCUUGUGGGGACUAAAUCUGAAUUUAUAUAUUUUUUUAAAUUUUCAAUUCCUUAGAUAUCAUUUUUAUAUUUUCACUAUAGAAAAAUAAUUUUCCUUUAUUACUUUCAAAUUUAAGUAAACUGAUUAAUUUUUUUGUAUAGAUAAUUUGUACCGUUUUUAUUAACGAGUGAAAGCAAAGAGAGAAUGAGGGGGAGAAGGGUGCGAGCGUAGAGGAGAUGCAAUAUGGAGAGAUAGAAAUAAAAGAAGAUAAGAGAGAAAUAAGCGGAAAAGGAUUAAGGUAGUUUAAGUAUAAAAAAUAAUUAUGGGACUAAAUAGUUAACGGAGUCAAAUUACAGGAACUAACUAAUGUGUUUUUAUAAAAUAUAGGGACAAACUAAUUAGUUUCACUAAAAUCGAUGAACUAAAUAGUAAUUUGACCAAUAUUGACUAACAGAAAAAUUGACAGAGCGAUUAAACAAUUUAAUGGAGGCAAAAUACAAGGAUUAAAUAGUAUAUUUUUUAAAAUACAGGGACCAACUAGUUACCUUCAUUAAAAUACAGAGACUAAAUAGUAAUUUACCCUAAAAGUUAUACUGUGUUAUUUUCUUAGAGUUAGUACGAUGUGUAGUGCUCCAACUUUUUUUUUUACCUGAUAAGGACUUCACUGCUUACUCCUUAUGUUGGUUUAUCAUUUGUAUCAUAUGGAAUUUGAAAUUGAAAUAUGCAUUAGUAUUUCUGAGUGUGAAUUAUGUAAGGAUUGAGUUGUAGCUUGAUCCAGGCUAUGGAUUUUUAAUGCCCUAUGCAAUGCUUACUAUUACUUUACUAAAUAUUUUGAUGAUUUCUGUUACUCAACUCCAUUCUCUGUGAAUUUUGUCUACCUGAUCCUUAGCAUGGAGGCAGCGCUAAUGCUUUUACAUCUUCUGAGCACACCAAUUACUAUUUUGAUGUCAACAAUGAUUAUUUUGAAGAUGCUUUGGACAGGUAAAUCCAUGUUUCCUUUUGCUGAUAGUUUGUUAUUUUCAUCAGUAUCCUCAUAAGGUUUGUGAGCUUGGUUUUUUGCAUGUGAUGUACUGUUCAGAUUUGCGCAGUUCUUUAUUAAACCAUUAAUGUCAGCUGAUGCAACAACGAAAGAGAUUAAGGUUGUCGAUUCUGGUUAGGUUUUAUGUUCAGUAGCCACUCUCUUUUAUCUUUAUAAAAUGUUUUAAUUCCCUAAUGUUGUACCGGUCCUAUUGAGGAUAUUUGCAGAUAGUAUGUGUGUGUAUAAGACUAUAAGUCUGUCUGCAGAGGAUAUUUUUGUCUGUGUACAGAGAUUAAAAUUACAGAGCUUUGUGCUGGAUGUUUCUAUUGUGACUUUCAUCUGCUUUCCCCCUUCUGUGCCCUUCUUUAUUUGUCCAUAUUUAUUUUUCUGAAAACCAAUUGCAUUAACCAUGUGAUUUGGUUAGUGGUUACUUAAAAAAAAAAAAACCAUGCAGGAUGGGCUACUGGCUUGGCUGCUGGU